rnacentral:rRNA from 1 species
GUCCAUGCCGUAAACGUUGGGCGCUAGGUGUGGGGCUCUUUCCACGAGUUCUGUGCCGCAGCAAACGCAUUAAGCGCCCCGCCUGGGGAGUACGGCCGCAAGGCUAAAACUCAAAGGAAUUGACGGGGGGCCCGCACAAGCGGCGGAGCAUGCGGAUUAAUUCGAUGUAACGCGAAGAACCUUACCAAGGCUUGACAUGGGGUGAAAACUGGCAGAAAUGUCAGGUCCGCAAGGGCGCCUCACAGGUGGUGCAUGGUUGUCGU